rnacentral:rRNA from 1 species
UACGUAGGGGGGCAAGCGUUGUCCGGAUUUUAUUGGGCGUAAAGAGCGUGUAGGCGGUUUGGUAGGUCCGUUGUGAAAACUCGAGGCUCAACCUCGAGACGCCGAUGGAAACCAUCAGACUAGAGUCCGGAAGAGGAGAGUGGAAUUCCUGGUGUAGCGGUGAAAUGCGCAGAUAUCAAGCGGAACACCAGUGGCGAAGGCGAGUCCCUGGACAACUCCUGACACUGAGGCAACGAAGCUAGGGAGCAACAGG